CCUACGGGAGGCAGCAGUGGGGAAUAUUGCACAAUGGGCGCAAGCCUGAUGCAGCCAUGCAGCGUGUAUGAAGAAGGCCUUCGGGUUGUAAAGUACUUUCAGCGGGGAGGAAGGGAGUAAAGUUAAUACCUUUGCUAAUUGACGUUACCCGCAGAAGAAGCACCGGCUAACUACGUGCCAGCAGCCGCGGUAAU
rnacentral:rRNA from 1 species